rnacentral:rRNA from 1 species
UACGUAGGAGACGAGCGUUGUCCGGAAUUACUGGGCGUAAAGCGCGUGUAGGCGGACCGGCAAGUCUGCUGUGAAAGCUCCUGGCUUAACCGGGAGUGGUCGGUGGAAACUGCCAGUCUGGAGGACGGUAGAGGUAGGUAGAAUUCCCGGUGUAGUGGUGAAAUGCGUAGAGAUCGGGAGGAAUACCUGUGGCGAAGGCGGCCUACUGGGCCGGACCUGACGCUGAGACGCGAAGGCGUGGGGAGCGAACGGG